CUCAUGAUUUUAUGGGGCAGAAAUUGGGAAGGGUACCACUGGGCAAUUUAUCUGAUUUACGUAACAACUAGGGCAGCUGGGGCUGGAGGAUCCAUUUUCAAAAUGGCUUCUUCACUUAGUGUUCUUUGGCCUCUUCCUUGGUGCUCUUUUGCCUCUACACUUGAUGUCGCAUCCUCCAGGGCUUCUUCACUUGCCUUUGGGUUUCUCACGACAUAGUGAUUUCAGGGUGAUUACAUUUCUAACAUAGUGGUCAGCUUCCAAAAGGCAGGAAACCAAACUUGUCAGGUGAAAUAAGAGCAAUACCUGGAACUGGAACUUCGCUUCUACCACAUAGUCUUGGUCAAAACAGUCGAAGGAUCCACUCAGAUUCAAGGAAGUGAAAAGACUCCACCUUCUGAUGACAGAGUGACAUUGUCACAAUAGAGAAGAAUAUGUAAAACCGGGAGACACAGUUGUGGCCACCUUUGGUAAACACAAUCUGCCACAUUAUUUAUUGCCAUUUUUAUUUUUCCUUUUGUGAAUUGCCCAGCCAUGGCUGUGUCCUUCCAUUUUUUUCUAUUGAUUUAUAAAACUAUAGUACAUACCUCAAAUCUUUUGCACGGAUAAAAAUUCUUUUUUCCAAGUUUUAAUUUAGAAUUCUUCUACCUCAAGUAGAAGAAUAUAAUAAGAGUGUGUUUCAUUUACUUUAUAUGCUUCCUUUUAAAAAUCUGUUAGGAUGAAACAAUUACAGAAUCCUAUGUGUCUAAAAAAUUAAUAUGAUAUUAUAUAUAUAAAGCCAUUUCUCAAAUAUUUUAAAAUUAACUCCAUUACAUUACAAAUUCAAAUUCUAUCAGAAAGUAAUUAUAGCAAAUGGUACACAAAAGCUAAAAAUCACUGUCUUCAUUUUAACCCUCUACUACAAUGGGCCCUUUUCUCCCCUUAUAAACUACAUAUAAUCAAUACCUUUGGUUAAUAAUUAAAAAAAAAAAAGACACAAGUUGGCUACUCUUUUACUACAACUUUAUUGAAAACAUGGCUCUCCCUACCAAAAAUGAAUUCUCCUUAAAAACAAUUUCAGGUCGGGUGCUCACGCCUGUGAUCCCAGCACAUUGGCAGGCUGAGGCAGGCGGAACGCCUGAGGUCUGAAGUUCGAGACCAGCCUGGCCAACAUAGCGAAACCCCGUAUCUACUAAAAAUACAAAAAUUAGCUAGGCAUGGUGGUGGGUGCCUGUAAUCCCCGCUACUCGGGAGGCUGAGGCAGG
rnacentral:lncRNA from 1 species